CUAAAAUUCUGUCUGCUACAUCAAAGCUGUUGUUGACAUCUGAAACUGAAAUAUCAUCAAGAUACCAAAAGUGAAAUUCCCAAGGAGGAACUUUAAUCCUGUUUAUGGGAAGGUGGAGUGAAUGAACAACACAUGAAUGUACAAAGGCACCUAGACACUGGCGAUAACAGAAUGGAAAGGACAGAAGCUGGGAAAUGUCUCUUGGAAAGAAUGUAAUGAAGCUGCUGAUUGCUGCAAAGUUCUCCUGAAGAAGGAACUCCAAAUAGUUAACCACACUGUGGGGAAGGGUGUAUUUAAAGCCAGGCUCCUGCUGCCUCCCCACCACCCUGCAAUGUACCUUCAGCCCAGCAGUAGCUUGGACAUCUCCAUGUUGAGGUGGCCCAAGCAUUCAGGACCCAAGCAGCUGGAUAGGGCAACUACACUGCAUGAAGGCUUCCUUGUUCAACUCUUCUUCAGUGGAAACCUCUACCCACCUCCUCUGCUGUCAACUGAGUGGAAAAGGAGCAAAGAACAUGGAGG